rnacentral:rRNA from 1 species
CACGGGGGGAGCAAGCGUUGUUCGGAAUCACUGGGCGUAAAGGGCGUGUAGGCGGUCAAGUAAGUGGAAUGUGAAAGCCCCCGGCUUACCCGGGGAUCUGCAUCCCAAACUGCUUGGCUUGAGUACGGGAGAGGAUAGGGGAAUUCCUGGUGUAGCGGUGAAAUGCGCAGAUAUCAGGAGGAACACCUACGGCGAAGGCAGCUCGCUGGGACGGUACUGACGCUGAGACGCGAAAGCGUGGGGAGCAAACAGG